CCUUCAGAUGGAUUAUAAAUUUGUUUUCUGGAUACAAAGAAAGCUCCAAUGUCUCCUAGAGCCCAAGAAGAGUUCCAGCUUCGCAGCCCCUUGCAACUUUUUCCAAUUUUAUCAACGUGAGAGAACAACAAAUGUAAGAAUCCUACAGAAUUUUAUUGCAAAUAAAAAGAACUGAAACAAUAGGUUUCCAACCUCCAAGUUACAGGAUUCAAGCUGUCAACCUUUUGGGAAAAUGCUUGUGAAAGGGACCCCAGCAUGAACCAACCCAGUACCCUAAAGGUUAAGCUACCAGGCUAAGGCAAGAGAAUCAUGGCUGAAGUGAUGCAUUUCCAAGACAAAGUAUGCAGAGCAUUGCUAACCACUGCCAGAAGCUAGGAAAGAGAUGUGGGAUCUUUUCUCCUUCCAAGCCUCCACAAAGAACCAACUCUUCUGACACAUUGGCUUUG